AACCUCCCACCUAUGCGUGCCUCAUUCACACCCAUAAAAUAAUCUCACUUCUUAUCUCACAGAGAACAGAGGUGAACUAUCAUCUGGAUUUAGGAGCUUAGACUGUGUCAGGCCUUAUGAUAAAGUUUUCUCUCUCCAGAAACCAGAAAGAGGAGGCUGACCCUGGGCUAUGUAUUAAUUUAGGCAGAGUGAAUAUUUUCAUUUACUCUAAAUUACAAUAAGCCAAAUCCCUUCCAUAUGCCGAAAGAUACCACAGAGCGUAUUUUACAGCCUCGGGGAUGCUGAAUGGUGGACCCCUCCCUGCACUGGACAGGGUGACUGUGGGGCAGAGAUUCUGCAGUUCUAAGGGAAAGUCACAGUGAGACUGGGAAGCCACUAGUAAAACUGCAAGAACUGCCAAGAAUCCACUAGCCAGGCUUGAGAAGCCCAAGCCUCCUGAAGAGACCACAUGCCUACACGUUUCUCUGUCAACUCAGCUGAGCCCCAGGGGACACAGUCCGACUGCCCAGCCCAGAUCACCUGAUCUGUACCUCCACAGCCAUCUGACUGCAGCUGCAUGAGUGAUGUCCACAAGAGGGAACCCCUCAGCUGAGCUCGGUCAACCCACAGAAUUGGGAGAGAGAAUUAACUGUUUGAAGCCACUAACUUUUUGGAGCAGUUUGUUACACAGCAACAGAGUUCCUGCCAAUCUCCUCCACCAAUGCAUAACUUAACCUAAUCACAAGGCAACAUUGGACAAAAUCAAUUCUACAAAAUAACUGGCCCAUACUCUUCAAAAAUAAAAAGACCAGGAAAAAUGAAAAAGAGGCUGAGGAGCUGUUUCAGAUUAAAGAGCUCCAUCCAGUGCUCUGGGCAACAUGAUGGCAUGGCUGCAAGGCUGCAGGAGAGCAG